rnacentral:lncRNA from 1 species
AUGCGAAGUACUUACCGUUCCUGUCUCAGCAGUGAGACCGCUGGUAUCAUCGCCCUUGUCAGCAUCAUUGUCAAUGUAAGAAGGAAUUCGACUCUUUUGGUGGAUGAUCCAAAAUCAGAAGAUUUGUGUGGAUCAUCCAGUGACCGUCGCCUUUGGACCACAGGCUGUCCCAGAAUCCUUGCAUGGAGAGAGAGAACUUGGAUAUGCAUCCGGCUGGCUUUGAGAAGAGAAAAUCUUGCUGACCUUGAUCAAGGUGGAUCUGAGGAGUUCCUAUUGUGGCACAGCAGAAACAAAUCCGACUAGUAUCCAUGAGGAUGCAUGUUUGAUCCCUGGCCUCGCUCAGUGGGUUAAGGAUCUGGCAUUGCUGUGAGCUGUGGUGUAGGUCACAGACGUUGCUUGGAUCUAGCGUUGCUGUGGCUGUGGCAUAGGCCAGCCACUGCCGCUCUGAUCCAGCCCCCAGCCUGGGAACUUCAUGUGCCGUGGGUGCAGCCCUAAAAAAAAAAAAAAAAAAAAAAAAAAAAAAAAGAUGGAUCUGACUAUAAUCAAGAAGGCGUUUCCCCAUGAGCAGCUGUUCCACCUGUGUUCUCUGAGGUCCACACUGGCUGUCCUUGCCUGUAGGACAUUUUGCUCUAUUGCAUUUUUUCUGCAUGUGGAAGUACUAUAACGGCUAAGUGACAUUUCUGCCUCUCACCAUCCUUAUUUCCUUUGUGGGAACUUCCUUUCUCUUUUCUAUGUGUUUCCAGGGGGCUGCCAAUCAGGCCGCACUGUCCUCCAGUGCAGACCCGGACACCUGACCCAGGCUGGGCCAAAUCUAGUGCUACACCCCCCUUGCAUCUGCGCUUGCUCCAGGGGCUGCCAGAGUUGACAUCUCCUCUGUCCUCUGAUUGCAUUGAGAUGGAAAUUGCAGGUCACCAAGAGACAGACUAAUCAGAGUGUUUUGCUCUUUCUCCAUCUCUCCAAAAUCACAAUGCAAGAUUUUGCUCCUAUUGUUCCUAUUCCUACAUGAAGGUGGAUUCUUCAGUUGCUCUGAUGAGCACAGAUCCCUGGAGCCGGUAUGGUUUACCCAGUGACAGGGUCAGAUAACAAAACGUCUGCAAACAUGACCAGAAAACCACUUCAAAAGAUUGGAAUGUUAUGACCUUUUUAAUGCCUUAGGGCAGAAACAAGUCCUGUUUGUUCAUUUGUUUAUUAUCUUAUUUUAUCUUAUUUGGGACACCUAUAGGGCUUUUCAUUGAUCUUUCAUAGAAACAGACAUUGGUAGGAGUUCCCAUUGUGGCUCAGGGGGUUAAGAGCCUACCAUAGUGGGCAUCCAUGAGGAUGCAGGUUUGUUCCCUGCCCUUGUUCAGAGGAUUAAGGAUCCGACGUUGCCGCAAGCUGUGGUGUGGGUCACAGCUGCAGCUCUGAUUCGAUCCCUGGCCUGGGAACUUCCGUAUGCCACAUGUGUAGCCAUUAAAAAGGGGGAAAAAGAAUAAAGAAAGAAAAAAAGAAACUGACA